ensembl:lincRNA
UCAUUAUACAUUGGGAAUGUGUGUAGCAGAUAACUUUACAGUACCAGAUCACAGGUAGUCACAUCCAAUUCAAUGCAGAGAACUGCAAGUGAUCCUGGACUUUGGGCAGGCUGUGGUAACUCCUUGUGGAGAGAGUAUUAUCUCAGCAACAACAGCACUCAGCUGAUUGGACCAAAAGAAAUGCUACGUGCGUUAGUUCAGGCUUGUCAAGAAGUAAAUGCCAAGAUGGAAUUAGAUGUGCAAGAAAUUUCUUGGAGAAGAGAGCAGGAAAGACAAGGAGAGCUUUCGGAUUGCAAUACAAGUCUAACACCAGUAGAAGGAGAGAAGAAAGGAAGGAAGAUGGGGUAAGAAGAAUCUCAGACUAUACUAA